rnacentral:rRNA from 1 species
CAGUCGCCACGGUAAUACGUAGGUCCCGAGCGUUGUCUGGAUUUAUUGGGCGUAAAGCGAGCGCAGGCGGUUAGAUAAGUCUGAAGUUAAAGGCUGUGGCUUAACCAUAGUACGCUUUGGAAACUGUUUAACUUGAGUGCAAGAGGGGAGAGUGGAAUUCCAUGUGUAGCGGCGAAAUGCGUAGAUAUAUGGAGGAACACCGGUGGCGAAAGCGGCUCUCUGGCUUGUAACUGACGCUGAGGCUCGAAAGCGUGGGGAGCAAACAGGAUUAGAUACCCCGGUAGUCCCUGUCUCUUAUACA